ncrna:Drosophila ananassae microRNA dan-mir-281 precursor (dan-mir-281-2)
CGAAUAGUGAAAUGAAGAGAGCUAUCCGUCGACAGUCAAGUUAAAACACGGAUUGUAAUACUGUCAUGGAAUUGCUCUCUUUGUAUAACAUUCG